GCCUUCGUAGGAAUCAGUGGUAGAUCGUACCGGCCGCAGAUCUUCGGAUCCUCUUCCUUGCGGCCGCGUGUAUGCGCGGGUUCGACUCCCGCCGAAGGCG
rnacentral:tRNA from 1 species